AUUGAACGCUGGCGGCAGGCUUAACACAUGCAAGUCGAACGAGUGGCGGACGGGUGAGUCAUGUCUGGGAAACUGCCUGAUGGAGGGGGAUAACUACUGGAAACGUUAGCUAAUACCGCAUACCAUCGGAUGUGCCCAGAUGGGAUUAGCUAGUAGUGGGGGUAAAGGCUAACCUGGGCGACGAUCCCUAGCUGGUCUGAGAGGAUGACCGGCCACACUGGAACUGAGACACGGUCCGGACUCCUAGGGGAGGCAGCAGGGGGGAAUAUUGCACAAUGGGCGCAAGCCUGACGCAGCCAUGCCGCGUGUAUGAAGAAGGCCUUCGGGUUGUAAAGUACUUUCAGCGGGGAGGCGUUACCCGCAGAAGAAGCACCGGCUAACUCCGUGCCAGCAGCCGCGGUAAUUC
rnacentral:rRNA from 1 species